CCUACGGGGGGCUGCAGUGGGGAAUAUUGGACAAUGGGCGAAAGCCUGAUCCAGCCAUGCCGCGUGUGUGAAGAAGGCCUUCGGGUUGUAAAGCACUUUCAGUGGGGAAGAAAGCCUUGGGGCUAAUACCCUCGAGGAAGGACAUCACCCACAGAAGAAGCACCGGCUAACUCCGUGCCAGCAGCCGCGGUAAUACGGAGGGUGCGAGCGUUAAUCGGAAUUACUGGGCGUAAAGCGCGCGUAGGCGGUCUGAUAAGCCGGUUGUGAAAGCCCCGGGCUCAACCUGGGAACGGCAUCCGGAACUGUCAGGCUAGAGUGCAGGGGAGGAAGGUAGAAUUCCCGGUGUAGCGGUGAAAUGCGUAGAGAUCGGGAGGAAUACCAGUGGCGAAGGCGGCCUUCUGGACUGACACUGACGCUGAGGUGCGAAAGCGUGGGUAGCAAACAGGAUUAGAUCCCCUGGUAGU
rnacentral:rRNA from 1 species